rnacentral:rRNA from 1 species
AUUUUAAGGGCGGAUGGAGGAUGCCUUGGGAGGUUGAGGCGAUGAAGGACGUAGGGUGCUUGCGAUAAGCCUCGGGGAGGUGGCUACCAACCUUUGAUCC